rnacentral:rRNA from 1 species
CCUACGGGCGGCUGCAGUGGGGAAUAUUGCACAAUGGGGGAAACCCUGAUGCAGCGACGCCGCGUGAGUGAAGAAGUAAUUCGUUAUGUAAAGCUCUAUCAGCAGGGAAGAAAAUGACGGUACCUGAGUAAUAAGCCCCGGCUAACUCCGUGCCAGCAGCCGCGGUCAUACGUAGGGGGCAAGCGUUAUCCGGAUUUACUGGGUGUAAAGGGAGCGUAGACGGCAGUGCAAGUCUGGAGUGAAAGGCGGGGGCUCAACCCCCGGACUGCUCUGGAAACUGUACGGCUGGAGUGCAGGAGAGGUAAGUGGAAUUCCUAGUGUAGCGGUGAAAUGCGUAGAUAUUAGGAGGAACACCAGUGGCGAAGGCGGCUUACUGGACUGUAACUGACGUUGAGGCUCGAAAGCGUGGGGAGCAAACAGGAUUAGAUACCCGAGUAGUC